AUGGAUACCCAACCCGACGGGCCGGGCCGGGUUGGGACAGAUAUCUAGAAAUUGUGGUCAGGUUUGAGUCAGACUCGGUUACAUCAGCACGAUAAGGCAUUUGUUGUAAAAUGGUGCAGCGGCUCCUUUAAAAGAGCUCAGUGUGUGUGUGUGUGUGUGAGUGUGAGUGGUAAGAUAGAGAAAGAGGAAGCAGUCGUGUAGAUGCGACCGGAGCCGAGUUGGUGGAAUAAGUUUUGUACACAGUGUGUGUGACAGUGGCACUCAAAGCUAAGUUCAU